rnacentral:misc_RNA from 1 species
GAAAGAUAUGAUUUAACUCUUUUUUGAUGGUAUGGCAUUUGAUUUUUACUCUGGUGUAUAUAUUUUGAUUAGAUCUUGUUGAUUAAGAGCUGAUUAUUGUUGAUUGAAAUGAGAUUUUGAAAUUAUUGCAUUGAUUUUAAAUUUUGAAUGUUUAGAUUAUGGAUUUGUCGAGGAUUUUUUGACAAUUGGUUUGUUGAUUUUGGAUGAUUUGGGGUUUGUUGAUUUUGGUUUUGUCAAGGGAGAUGAUA